rnacentral:rRNA from 1 species
UUUUAAAGCCUUCAGGCGCUGAGGGAUUGGGAUAUGCUCUAUUAGCUAGNUGGCGGGAUAAAAGCCCACCAAGGCAAUGAUAGAUAGCUGGUCUUAGAGGAUGAACAGCCACAAUGGGAUUGAGAUACGGCCCAUAUUCCUACGGGAAGCAGCAGUAGGGAAUCUUCCACAAUGGACGAAAGUCUGAUGGAGCAAUACCAUGUGAACGAUGAAGGCCUUUUUGGUUGUAAAGUUCUUUUACGAGGGAUAAUUAUGAUAGUACUUCGUGAAUAAGUGACAGCAAACUAUGUGCCAGCAGCUGCGGUAAUACAUAGGUCGCAAGCAUUAUUCGGAUUUAUUGGGCGUAAAGCAAGCGCAGGCGGAUGUGUAAGUUCUGUGUUAAAUGCAGCUACUCAAUAGUUGUAUGCACCGAAUACUACAUGUCUAGAUUGUGGUAGGGAGUUUCGGAAUUAAGCAUGGAGCGGUGGAAUGUGUAGAUAUGCUUAAGAACACCAGAGGCGAAGGCGGAAACUUAGGCCAUAAAUGACGCUUAGGCUUGAAAGUGUGGGGAGCAAAUGGGAUUAGAUACCCCAGUAGUCCACACCGUAAACGAUGGGUAUUAGAUAUUAGGGCUUUAGCUUUAGUGUUGUAGCUUACGCGUUAAAUACCCCGCCUGGGUAGUACAUAUGCAAAUAUGAAACUCAAAGGAAUUGACGGGGACCUGAACAAGUGGUGGAGA